rnacentral:rRNA from 1 species
GUUUACAGUCAUGCCACCCUGUUGUGCCUGAUUUCAUAACAUUUCGGACGCUAAGCAGAGUCAGACUUGGUUAGUACUUGGGUGGGAGACCACCUCGGAAUACCAGGUGCUGUAGGCA